AUUGAACGCUGGCGGCAUGCCUUACACAUGCAAGUCGAACGGCAGCACGGGUGCUUGCACCUGGUGGCGAGUGGCGAACGGGUGAGUAAUACAUCGGAACAUGUCCUGUAGUGGGGGAUAGCCCGGCGAAAGCCGGAUUAAUACCGCAUACGAUCUACGGAUGAAAGCGGGGGACCUUCGGGCCUCGCGCUAUAGGGUUGGCCGAUGGCUGAUUAGCUAGUUGGUGGGGUAAAGGCCUACCAAGGCGACGAUCAGUAGCUGGUCUGAGAGGACGACCAGCCACACUGGGACUGAGACACGGCCCAGACUCCUACGGGAGGCUG
rnacentral:rRNA from 1 species